AGCAGUAGCCACGGUAAUACGUAGGGUGCGAGCGUUAAUCGGAAUUACUGGGCGUAAAGCGUGCGCAGGCGGUUAUAUAAGACAGAUGUGAAAUCCCCGGGCUCAACCUGGGACCUGCAUUUGUGACUGUAUAGCUAGAGUACGGUAGAGGGGGAUGGAAUUCCGCGUGUAGCAGUGAAAUGCGUAGAUAUGCGGAGGAACACCGAUGGCGAAGGCAAUCCCCCGGACCUGUACUGACGCUCAUGCACGAAAGCGUGGGGAGCGAACAGGAUUAGAUACCCCCGUAGUCCCUGUCUCUUAUAC
rnacentral:rRNA from 1 species